rnacentral:rRNA from 1 species
GAUGAACGCUGGCGGCGUGCCUAAUACAUGCAAGUCGAGCGAACAGAUGAGGAGUUUGCUCCUCUGACGUUAGCGGCGGACGGGUGAGUAACACGUGGAUAACCUACCUAUAAGACUGGGAUAACUUCGGGAAACCGGAGCUAAUACCGGAUAAUAUAUUGAACCGCAUGGUUCAAUAGUGAAAGACGGUUUUGCUGUCACUUAUAGAUAGAUCCGCGCCGCAUUAGCUAGUUGAUAAGGUAACGGCUUACCAAGGCAACGAUGCGUAGCCGACCUGAGAGGGUGAUCGGCCACACUGGAACUGAGACACGGUCCAGACUCCUACGGGAGGCAGCAGUAGGGAAUCUUCCGCAAUGGGCGAAAGCCUGACGGAGCAACGCCGCGUGAGUGAUGAAGGUCUUCGGAUCGUAAAACUCUGUUAUUAGGGAAGAACAAAUGUGUAAGUAACUAUGCACGUCUUGACGGUACCUAAUCAGAAAGCCACGGCUAACUACGUG